UCGCUUUGAAACACCGGUCCUCAUACGAUCACCGAAGUUAAGCAAUGUCUAGCCUAGUCAGUAUGUAGAUGGGUGACUGCUUGGGAAUACCAAGUGCUGUAAG